rnacentral:piRNA from 1 species
UGGGCUUGAAUGGUGCUUUAAACCCCGAGC